AUGCCCGUUUUCACCAACAACCUCUUACCGUUUCCCUAUCUAAAAGCUACUUUUAAUAAGGACCCCUCCCAAUUUGACACCUACCUAAAUUCAUUUUCACCACACUUGUACAUGGAUCCCUUAAGUAAGUGACAGAUUACUAGUUCUACAAACGAUAAUGCAAAGUCGAUAUUUUAUCGAUAAAAUGAUUUUUCUGUACUUCUUAAGAAAUAAACGACUAUCGAGUAUAUAUUACUAAAGCCUAUAAGUUUAUUUUGGCAGAGAAGAGAAAACGAGGAUAAACCUUUCUUGCAGAAGAAAAAGACAAGCUAGUGAAAUUGCUGACGUCUCAUAGAGACACAAUAUUAAACAAAAAACGGAUGGGACCACGAACGAAGCCAAAAACAAAGCUUGGAUCCAGUCACAAAUAGUUUUAAUGCGAUAGGAACCGUUUACAGUUUCAGGUGGUGCGAGAAAUUGGAAAGACGUGUAAAAACAUGCUGCGCCCAGCCCACCCCAAAUUGAAUUGGUGCAGGAGGAUGAUGAUAAUGUUUGGUACAUCAUAUGAGGACUAAUAUUAAAAUAUUUGUUUACUAUCUUUGUUUUAA